rnacentral:rRNA from 1 species
GCGGCGAUGCGAGCGGUCCACCACCCACGAUGUCACGAGAAGUCCAUUGAACCUUAUCAUUUAGAGGAAGGAAAAGUCAUAAUAAGGUUUCCGUAGGUGAACCUAUGGAAGGAUUAUUG